rnacentral:misc_RNA from 1 species
CUGGUUUCUUUCUUACUAAAAACAUCAUUAUGAGACAAACAUGAGUGUCAUUAUCUUGACAUUAUUAUGCUAUAAUGUAUUUUAUCACAUGUUGGAUAAAUUUGCUAUUGAUGUCAACACGUUGUUUUUCAACUUUCGAUACGCUGAAUGAAAAUGGCUUAUUGAAUGAUCAUAAAGAAAGCAUCGAAGACAUCACUCAAGUGGAAAAUUCAGUUAAAACUGUCAAUCAAAAAAUGAAGCAUAAUGGUACAAAUAAAAUGGACAAAAGUCUUAAAAUUUCUUAUGCUCAUAAACUAAACAUUUUUCCUAAAUCUUACAAAGAGAGCAGCGCGAAUCGAGCCAAAGA